CGAUGGACGAUUCAGGAGAGGGAGCCUGAUAACGGCUACACAUCCAACGAAGGCAGCAGGCGCGCAUAUUACCCAAUCCCGAUACGGGGAGGUAGUGACAAUAAAUAACAAUACAGGGCUCUUAUGGGUCUUGUAAUUGGAAUGAGUACAAUUUAAAUCUCUUAACGAGGAACAAUUGGAGGGCCAGUCUGGUGCCCGCUUCCACGGUAAUUCCGGCUCCAAUAGCGUAUAUUAAACUUGUUGCAGUUAAAAAGCUCGUAGUUGAAUUUCUGAAUUUUUUUAUCGGUUGAAUCCACAGGUUCUUACUGAUUUUAAUAAUUUCUACCUUCUGGAGAACCUUAAUGUCUUUUUUUUGAAGUUUUGGGAAACCAGGACUGUUACCUUGAAAAAAUUCAAGUGUGUAACGCUGGCUUAUGUCUGAAUAUUUUAGCAUGGAAUAAUGAAAUAAGACGGCCUGGUUCUAUUUUGUUGGUUUCUAGGAUCACCGUUUUGAUUAAUACGGAUAGUUGGGGGCAUUAGUAUUCAAUUGUCUGAGGUGAAAUUCUUGGAUUUAUUGAAGACUAACUUCUGCGAAAGCUUUUGCCCAGGAUGCUUUCAUUAAUCUAGAACGAAAUUUUGGGGAUCGAAGACAAUCAAAUUCCGGCGUACUCUUAACCAUAAACUAUGCCGACUACGAAUCCGACAAAUUUGACUUUUUAAUGACUCACUCGGCGCCUUACUGGAAACUCAGUGU
rnacentral:rRNA from 1 species